GUGGAUUAGAUACCCGGGUAGUCCACGCAGUAAACGAUGAAUACUAGCUGUUCGCGAUAUACAGCGAGUGGCACAGCGAAAGCGUUAAGUAUUCCACCUGGGGAGUACGUUCGCAAGAAUGAAACUCAAAGGAAUUGACGGGGGCCCGCACAAGCGGAGGAACAUGUGGUUUAAUUCGAUGAUACGCGAGGAACCUUACCCGGGCUUGAAAUGCAAUCGACGGAUCAGGAAACUGGUUUUCCAGCAAUGGCGAUUGUGUAGGUGCUGCAUGGCUGUCGUCAGCA
rnacentral:rRNA from 1 species